rnacentral:rRNA from 1 species
GACGAACGACUCGGCGGGCGGUGCCUAACACAUGCAAGUCGAACGGGGUUGCCCUUCGGGGCGAACUUAGGUGGACGGAACGGGUGAGUAACGCGUGAGGAACCUGCCUUCCAGUGGGGGACAACAGUUGGAAACGACUGCUAAUACCGCAUAAUACUACCGAGCGGCAUCGCUUGGUAGUCAAAGAUUUAUUGCUGAAAGAUGGCCUCGCGUCUGAUUAGCUGGUUGGUGGGGUAACGGCUCACCAAGGCGACGAUCAGUAGCCGGACUGAGAGGUUGACCGGCCACAUUGGGACUGAGAUACGGCCCAG